CCUACGGGAGGCUGCAGUAGGGAAUCUUCCACAAUGGGCGCAAGCCUGAUGGAGCAACACCGCGUGAGUGAAGAAGGGUUUCGGCUCGUAAAGCUCUGUUGUUGGAGAAGAACGUGCGUGAGAGUAACUGUUCACGCAGUGACGGUAUCCAACCAGAAAGUCACGGCUAACUACGUGCCAGCAGCCGCGGUAAUACGUAGGUGGCAAGCGUUAUCCGGAUUUAUUGGGCGUAAAGCGAGCGCAGGCGGUUGCUUAGGUCUGAUGUGAAAGCCUUCGGCUUAACCGAAGAAGUGCAUCGGAAACCGGGCAACUUGAGCGCAGAAGAGGACAGUGGAACUCCAUGUGUAGCGGUGGAAUGCGUAGAUAUAUGGAAGAACACCAGUGGCGAAGGCGGCUGUCUGGUCUGCAACUGACGCUGAGGCUCGAAAGCAUGGGUAGCGAACAGGAUUAGAUACCCGGGUAGUC
rnacentral:rRNA from 1 species